UAAACUGGACCUGGUACCAUAGGCCUGGAAUUUCAGCUACUCAGGAGACUGGGGUAGGAGAAUCUCCAGUUCUAGGCCAGACUUUGUAAUGUAGAACACAUCCAUCUCAAAAUGAAAUGUUUAAAAGGGCACCCAGACAUCGAACUCAAGUCAUCAGCCUUGGUUGCAAGUGGCCUUACCCACUGAGCCAUCUAACCAGCCCCAAUCACCUUUUCUAAAGCAGGAUAAAAACCCUGAUGUGAAGACAUGAGCUCAUAAAGAUCAAAGGUGUUUGCAGCGUUCAGCUCAAUAGACAACCGCAGAUGCUCUGAAAUGCUCAUCCCAAACAUCAAGUGUCCAAUAAACACAUUGCCAUCAUUUUUAUACCUAAUUUCAAAAUAAAAAAGCUAACCUUAUGCACCAA